CUGGUGCCAGCAGCCGCGGUAAUUCCAGCUCCAAUAGCGUAUAUUAAAGUUGUUGCAGUUAAAAGCUCGUAGUUGAAUUUCGGGAUCUGUCCAUUGGUCGGGCCUCACGGUCCGUACUGGUGAGAUGGGUUCCUACCUUCUGAAUAACCGGCAUGCCAUUUAGUUGGUGCGCCGGGAGGCAGAGCUAUUACCUUGAAAAAUUAGAGUGCUUAAAGCAGGCUAUUGCUUGAAUAGAUUAGCAUGGAAUAAUAAAAUAGGACGGCAUGGUUCUAUUUUGUUGGGUUUCUAGGAUCACCGUAAUGAUUAAUAGGGAUAGUUGGGGGCAUUAAUAUUCAAUUGUCAGAAGUGAAAUUCUUGGAUUUAUUGAAGACUAACUACUGCGAAAGCAUUUGCCAAGGAUGUUUUCAUUAAUCAAGAACGAAAGUUAGGGGAUCGAAGACGAUCAGAUACCGUCGUAGUCUUAACCAUAAACUAUGCCGACUAGGGAUCGGACGAUGUUAACUUUUCUUGACUCGUUCGGUGCCUUACG
rnacentral:rRNA from 1 species